rnacentral:rRNA from 1 species
UGGGGAAUAUUGCACAAUGGGCGAAAGCCUGAUGCAGCGACGCCGCGUGAGGGAUGACGGCCUUCGGGUUGUAAACCUCUUUCAGCAGGGACGAAGCGCAAGUGACGGUACCUGCAGAAGAAGCACCGGCUAACUACGUGCCAGCAGCCGCGGUAAUACGUAGGGUGCAAGCGUUGUCCGGAAUUACUGGGCGUAAAGAGUUCGUAGGCGGUUUGUCGCGUCGUUUGUGAAAACCAGCAGCUCAACUGCUGGCUUGCAGGCGAUACGGGCAGACUUGAGUACUGCAGGGGAGACUGGAAUUCCUGGUGUAGCGGUGAAAUGCGCAGAUAUCAGGAGGAACACCGGUGGCGAAGGCGGGUCUCUGGGCAGUAACUGACGCUGAGGAACGAGAGCGUGGGUAGCGAACAGG